AGUGGCUACAUUAUUUAGUCAAGUUAUGACUGCUGUUGGUGGAAACACUGCUGGUCCAGUUGAUGCUGUUGUUAAUGUUUAUGUAAACCAUGAGAAGUUUGCUUUUGUGGAGAUGCGAUCUUUUGAAGAGGCAAGUAACACAAUGUCUUUGGAUGGCAUGAUAUUUGAGAUAUUGCGUGCGCUGCGGCGUCAAAAUGGGAGAUAACACUCUUACUGUGAGACGUGCGAAUCAAGGAAUAACGCAACAUCAACCUGAACAAGAGAGUAUAUUGUUGCAUGCACAACAGCAGAUUGCUUUUCAGGUGCGUGGUCAAAUGUUGUGAGUCCGCGUCCUAUCCCCAGCGGUGAGCCAGUUGCAGGCCUUGGCAAGGUUUGUACUAAAACUCUUCUUUCGCUAUCUCUAUGUAGAUGUAUACA